UGGGGAAUUUUGGACAAUGGGCGCAAGCCUGAUCCAGCCAUGCCGCGUGCGGGAAGAAGGCCUUCGGGUUGUAAACCGCUUUUGUCAGGGAAGAAAUCUUCUGAGUUAAUACCUCGGGAGGAUGACGGUACCUGAAGAAUAAGCACCGGCUAACUACGUGCCAGCAGCCGCGGUAAUACGUAGGGUGCAAGCGUUAAUCGGAAUUACUGGGCGUAAAGCGUGCGCAGGCGGUUUUGUAAGACAGAGGUGAAAUCCCCGGGCUCAACCUGGGAACUGCCCUUGUGACUGCAAGGCUUGAGUGCGGCAGAGGGGGGAUGGAAUUCCGCGUGUAGCAGUGAAAUGCGUAGAUAUGCGGAGGAAACACCGAUGGCGAAGGCAAUCCCCUGGGCCUGCACUGACGCUCAUGCACGAAAGCGUGGGGAGCAAACAGGAUUAGAUACCCUGGUAGUCCACGCCCUAAACGAUGUCAACUGGUUGUUGGGAAGGUUCCUUCUCAGUAACGUAGCUAACGCGUGAAGUUGACCGCCUGGGGAGUACGGCCGCAAGGUUGAAACUUAAAGGAAUUGACGGGGUCAU
rnacentral:rRNA from 1 species